rnacentral:rRNA from 1 species
UAGUCCACGCCGUAAACGAUGGUCACUAGCUGUCCGGACUUAGGUCUGGGUGGUCAAGCGAAAGUGAUAAGUGACCCACCUGGGGAGUACGUUCGCAAGAAUGAAACUCAAAGGAAUUGACGGGGCCCGCACAAGCGGUGGAGCAUGUGGUUUAAUUCGAUGAUACGCGAGGAACCUUACCAGGGCUUAAAUGCAUUGCGAUAGGUCUAGAGAUAGACUUUCCUUCGGGCGCUUUGCAAGGUGCUGCAUGGUUGUCGUCAGCUCGUGCCGUGAGGUGUCAGGUUAAGUCCUAUAACGAGCGCAACCCCUGUUGUUAGUUGCCAGCGAGUAAUGUCGGGAACUCUAGCAAGACUGCCGGUGCAAACCGCGAGGAAGGUGGGGAUGACGUCAAAUCAUCACGGCCCUUACGCCCUGGGGCCACACACGUACUACAAUGGGCAGGGUACAGCAAGCAGCCACUACGCGAGUA